rnacentral:lncRNA from 1 species
CUGGUAAACAUAGUGUAGCUCUCAAAGCAACUGAAAGAUUAAAUAUUUCCUUCAAGAGUUGGUGGAGGCCAAACAGGGGAAGAAGAGGAACCGUACCUCCAGUCAGUUUGUGAGUGCUGCAGUUAUCGCUUGGAUCCGGAAAACCCGGUCCGUUUCCUCAGUCUGCCGUGUGAAAGCGGAAAGAACGAGCCAGUCGUCCUGCCUGUCAUACACAGCUGCGAGUGCACAAGCUGCCAAGGAGGUGACCUGUCCAGACGCUGAGGCGGUGCGAUGAGUGCGUUUGUGUGAAUGUGUGUAUGCACAAGAGAGAGUACCGAUGCCAAGCCGGGUGAGAGCGCCACGCUGACAGCCAGCUGGGUGAUACAUGGAGGAUUAUGGGAUGGAUAGAUGGGUGGAUGAAAGAGAGGAAUAUGUUACGAAAGGUCCCUGUUGAUGCACACAUUGUUCUGUAGUCCUUAGUCAUCAUAUGACUGGAUGCUAAUGCUGAUCAUAGAGUUCCUGUUCUGAAACUUUGUGUAUUCUUCAGCCUGUAGAGCCUUUUUCCACUGUAUAUGUAUUUAUAGAGGAUCUACAAUACAAUCCAUGUAAGGCUUAUUAUGCAUUUAUAUAUGUUUUAUUUGUAUGUUCAAAGACGAUGUACUGCAUAUCUUAGUAGUUUUCCACUGGACUAGCCAAUAAACAUUUUCUGCACAUGUGGGAUACGACUGGCC